CAAGAUAAUACUAACUAUAAUUAGGUGAUAAAUAAUCAAUUAUACAAUAUUUGUGAUAUAAAUUUUAUAGCGAUCACUUGAACCACUAUAAAACCAACAAUCAUAAGUACAGCGAUCAGUUCAAAAUGUUUUACCCUAUGGUUACGUCCUAGUAGGCAAGGUUAAAAAAAAAGUAAAUCUACUCAGAUUUGCAUUCGAUCAAAAAAGUGUAAUUAACACGAUACGAAACGACACGCUGAAUAUAGAAAUCCAUUAAUAACAAAAUUCAUAUUUAAUCAUCUAACAUUUUAAAUUUAGACUAGUU